rnacentral:rRNA from 1 species
AUUGAACGCUGGCGGAAUGCUUUACACAUGCAAGUCGAACGGCAGCACGGACUUCGGUCUGGUGGCGAGUGGCGAACGGGUGAGUAAUACAUCGGAACGUGCCCAAUCGUGGGGGAUAACGUAGCGAAAGCUACGCCAAUACCGCAUACGAUCUAAGGAUGAAAGCGGGGGAUCGCAAGACCUCGCGCGAUUGGAGCGGCCGAUGGCAGAUUAGGUAGUUGGUAGGGUAAAGGCCUACCAAGCCGACGAUCUGUAGCUGGUCUGGGAAGAUGGUCAGCCACACUGGGACUGAGACACGGCCCAGACUCCUACGGGAGGCAGCAGUGGGGAAUUUUGGACAAUGGACGCAAGUCUGAUCCAGCCAUUCCGCGUGCAGGAUGAAGGCCCUCGGGUUGUAAACUGCUUUUGUACAGAACGAAAAGGCUCUGGUUAAUACCUAGGGCUCAUGACGGUACUGUAAGAAUAAGCACCGGCUAACUACGUGCCAGCCGCCGCGGUAA